rnacentral:rRNA from 1 species
CGAGACGACGCGUGGCGGCCGUGCCUAACACAUGCAAGUCGAGCGGGGCGAGGGGCGGAUGGCAACUGAAGCCUCUACCUAGCGGCGGACGGGUGAGUAACGCGUGGGCAACCUGCCUCAAGGAUCGGGAUAACAGCUCGAAAGGGCUGCUAAUACCGGAUGCGCUCACGGCCUCGCAUGGGGCUGUGAGCAAAGGGGAAACCCGCCUUGAGAUGGGCCCGCGUCCCAUCAGCUAGUUGGUGAGGUGAAAGCUCACCAAGGCGACGACGGGUAGCCGGCCUGAGAGGGUGACCGGCCACACUGGGACUGAGACACGGCCCAGACUCCUACGGGGGGCAGCAGUGGGGGAUCUUGCACAAUGGGCGAAAGCCUGAUGCAGCGACGCCGCGUGAGCGAAGAAGGCCUUCGGGUUGUAAAGCUCUGUCUGGAGGGACGAAACAAAUGACGGUACCUCCGGAGGAAGCCACGGCUAACUACGUG